rnacentral:rRNA from 1 species
AGAGUUUGAUCCUGGCUCAGGACGAACGCUGGCGGUGUGCUUCACACAUGCAAGUCGAACGAGGUAGCAAUACCUAGUGGCGGACGGGUGAGUAACGCGUGGGAAUCUGCCCUUGGGUAGGGGAUAGCAGGCCGAAAGGCCUAUUAAUACCGUAUAUGCCGUGAGGUAAAAGGAGUAAUCCGCCCGAGGAUGAGCCUGCGUCCGAUUAGCUAGUUGGUGGGGUAAAAGCCUACCAAGGCUACGAUCGGUAGCUGGUCUGAGAGGAUGAUCAGCCACAAUGGGACUGAGACACGGCCCAUACUCCUACGGGAGGCAGCAGUGGGGAAUUUUACGCAAUGGGGGAAACCCUGACGUAGCGACACCGCGUGAGCGAAGAAGCCUUUUGGGGUGUAAAGCUCUGUCAGCAGGAACGAAUAAAUGACGGUACCUGCAGAGGAAGCAUCGGCUAACUACGUGCCAGCAGCCGCGGUAAGACGUAGGAUGCGAGCGUUGUCCGGAUUCAUUGGGCGUAAAGAGUUCGUAGGCGGUUUGUUAAGUCUGAUGUUAAAGACCGGGGCUCAACCUCGGAAAUGCAUUGGAUACUGGCAGACUGGAGUGCAGUAGAGGCUAGUGGAAUUCCCAGUGUAGCGGUGAAAUGCGUAGA